rnacentral:rRNA from 1 species
GACGAACGCUGGCGGCGUGCUUAACACAUGCAAGUCGAACGGAAAGGCCCCUUUGGGGGUCCUCGAGUGGCGAACGGGUGAGUAACACGUGAGUAACCUGCCCUUGACUUCGGGAUAACUUCAGGAAACUGGGGCUAAUACCGGAUAGGAAUCCUUGCUGCAUGGUGGGGGUUGGAAAGCUUCGGCGGUUUUGGAUGGACUCCCGGCUUAUCAGCUUGUUGGUGGGGUAGUGGCUUACCAAGGCUUUGACGGGUAGCCGGCCUGAGAGGGCGACCGGCCACAUUGGGACUGAGAUACGGCCCAGACUCCUACGGGAGGCAGCAGUGGGGAAUAUUGCACAAUGGGCGGAAGCCUGAUGCAGCAACGCCGCGUGCGGGAUGACGGCCUUCGGGUUGUAAACCGCUUUCAGCAGGGGCGAAGCUUGUGGUGACGGUACCUGCAGAAGAAGCACCGGCUAACUACGUG